UACGUAGGGGGCUAGCGUUGUCCGGAAUCAUUGGGCGUAAAGAGCGCGUAGGCGGCCAGAUAGGUCCGGUGUGAAAGUCAAAGGCUCAACCUUUGAAUGCCGCUGGAAACUGUCUGGCUAGAGUCCGGGAGGGGCGAGUGGAAUUCCUGGUGUAGCGGUGAAAUGCGCAGAUAUCAGGAGGAACACCGGUGGCGAAGGCGGCUUCCUGGCCCGUAGCUGACGCUGAGGCGCGAAAGCGUGGGGAGCAAACAGG
rnacentral:rRNA from 1 species